rnacentral:rRNA from 1 species
UACGAGGGGGGCAAGCGUUGUUCGGAAUUAUUGGGCGUAAAGGGUGUGUAGGCGGUUGUUUAAGUUUGGUGUGAAAUCUCCCGGCUCAACUGGGAGGGUGCGCCGAAUACUGAAUGACUAGAGUGCGGGAGAGGAAAGUGGAAUUCCUGGUGUAGCGGUGAAAUGCGUAGAUAUCAGGAGGAACACCGGUGGUGUAGACGGCUUUCUGGACCGUAACUGACGCUGAGACACGAAAGCGUGGGUAGCAAACAGG